GCCUUCAAGAUGGGGACAACAGACGGAAACGACUGCUAAUACCGAAUACGAUCCGAAAGUCGCAUGACAUUUGGAUGAAAAGGGUGGCCUAUCGAAGAAGCUAUCGCUUGAAGAGGGGUUUGCGUCCGAUUAGGUAGUUGGUGAGGUAACGGCCCACCAAGCCGACGAUCGGUAGCCGGUCUGAGAGGAUGAACGGCCACACUGGAACUGAGACACGGUCCAGACUCCUACGGGAGGCAGCAGCA
rnacentral:rRNA from 1 species